ACUCCAUGCAUAAGUGAAUAUACUUUAAGUGUGCACACAUGGUAGAACAAAAGGAGUGAUUUUACUCGGGGAAAGAUACAUAAAUACUAAGUAACUAGUUAAUUGCCUUUGUGCUAUUAAAUACAACUGCAUUUUCAAUUUUAUAUUUAGAAUAAGAUUAUGAAUGUUGUAAUCUUUGGUAAUAUGAAAUUCAUGAUUCCUUGCCAGAUAAAGGCGGUAUUGUUUUUGUUAAAAUAUUCAUAGAAAAUUCUUCAGAAUUUAUAUAUAUAGAGAUUUUGACUGUAACAUAAAGGAUAUUCAUAAGAAGCAGUAAUCAAAGUGACUUUUAAAACCCACUUUACCAGAUGUGAUGUUAACUUGCAUCUACAGAUCAGUAUGAUAUGAUUAUAAUUCCCCGGCUAAAAGAGGAAUGUGCUUUUUGGAAUUAAUUAAGAAAUACAAGUGCUGUCAAGUGAAUUUACACAAAUUGAAGGUGGUACAGUAAUUUUGUCCAUCAAAAAAAUCAGAAAAUUUACUGCUACCGCAAGAGGUGGAGUAAUCUGUUGAAUUGUUAUUAAAUUAUCUUUAACUGUAUUGUUUUCCUAGCUAUAGGGAGGUAUUAUAUAUAUAUAUAUUCAGGUUUGAAAAUUGUAUGAGAUUUCUGCUCAUUUGUUGAAUUAAGACUGGGAAAUAGGACCCAUAUCCAAUCCGAAGAGCUGCACAGCAACCCCAUCAUACACAAUGAGACAUAGGUUGGCAGAGUGAAAGGCCUCAGUGCUGGUUAUCUUAUUAAAUCAAAGAAGUUUAUCAAAAAGCACAAUUGUACUUACUGUACUUGUUUUCAUAUAUAUCAUAUAUAUCUAUAUAUCUAUAUAUAGCUGGAUUGUUUCUAAUAAUCUUUUUAGAAUUAUUUUGAAUUUAGAUAUAAGUGUGAAUGGUAGAAAUAACUGUAUAAAGAGAAACUUGUUCAUCAUUUAGAUUGUUAACUAGAAAUCUGAAAAAAUCAUUGAAAAUUUUUUAUUUGAUAUAUUUUUUGACUACAGACAAUAAAUUUAGGGAAGAGUAUUAUGGUGUAAGGAAUAAGAAGUGAAAUUGAUAUACUGAUUCUGAUUGUAUCAUUAAUUCCACCCAUACAGGAUUAUCAUUUCAUAGAUUCUCAUAAUUGGCAUAAUAAUAUACAAUUUUUUUUUCUCUCUUUUUUUUUUUACAAGCAAAGUGGUAAUAGUCAUAACAUGAGAAGCACUUGAGUAUUGGUGUGAUAUAGCAGUCUCCAGCCAAAGUAAAAUUCAAGAUAAAACAGUACUUGUAGAUUAUUCACAAGGCACGAAAAGCUUCAGAAUAAACUGCUCGACAAAUGUGUCUUCCUUUGAUGGUGGAUUUGUAGACAACUGAGGUGAUUAGAGGUUGGAAAUGCUAAAUAAGCUGACUCUCAGUUGAUGUGUAUAAAAGCUGUUGACCAUCUUGUUUACAUAGAGGUCAACUGUGAUGGACAGCACUUUUAAUUUCCCAAUGUUUUCAACCAAGCAGAGACACGGUUUUUUGCUUUUCACAUGCUUUUAUUGCUUACAUGGAUAUUUUAAAGCAGUGCACUUUGUACUAGCAUAACGGUUUAGUAGUUGUUUAUAAUGUUUUCAUGAGGGUAAAUGACUUUUCUUUUGCAUUCAAAUUGUUAUGCCUCUUGUCUGAAAAGUUAAUCUACGGUUUUAUUUUGUGAGGCCUAAGGCUCUAGGAAUUGGGUGGUGGUGGUGGUGUGUUGAUUAAUACUGUAUCCUUAACAGAACACCGAAGAAUACCAUCCUUAUGUAGUGAUUGACAAUGGCCUCACAUUUAUAGGGUCUACAAGGGUGAUAAUCGUUACUAAUUAGUUUUAUAUUAGUGGUUGUUAAGGCUAGUCUUUCAUAAUAUGUCAUUGGUUGAUGUUUGCUAAUGUGUAGCCAGUUUUUAAGCAUUUUUAUAGUGUUAUCCUGAUAGAAAGGAACAGAAAGUUUUUAGCAAUACAUAUUUUAUAAUGAUAUAAAUGGUUGAUUCAUUGGCUAAGAUGAAAGUUUUAUAGCAUCUCCAUUGUCAUUUAGUCUAAUAUUCUCAAUUCAAAUAACUUUUAAAGUCUUCAUGCUCUAUUUGGAAACUUAACUUUAUCUAAAUACGUAUACUAUUUAACCUUCUUCAUCUUGUAGGCACAAAUUUCCUCUUGUCAUUUAUUAGGGCUUUGAUAUUUAUAUACACAGAAAACAUGGGCCAAUUUAGACAAAGUAUAAAUAUAUUUUUAUUUUUAGAUUGCUUUGCAUAAACUAACUGCACAUCAGUAACAGUUAAAAAAGAAUGACCUAUAGUGUUUCUUUAAAGAAGGGGUAAAUUUACUUUUUGAAAUGACAAUUUAAGAUAUGAUAUCCAGAUGAACUGUGUUAACUGUCACUUUGAAGAAGAUUGUCACCUAAUAGUUUUAAUAGUUUUUAAGCAACAAAAAUACUGCAAUAAAUUGUUAUAUGUCACUUCCAAAGAUUUUUAUACAGAAGUAACAUCAUGCAGCUGUUCCUACUUUUUCUGUAAACCCAAUAUUAACAAAUAUUUGCUUGCUCUGUCCUUCAUUACCAAGGUCUAGGGAAAUUUUGCAUGCUGGAGUAUGCAUGAUUAAAAGAUUAAAGCAAAAUCAAAUGGGAAAUAUAUUGAUAAUGGUCAUAGUAACAUCCUCGCAAUGAGGGGCACUUUGGCUGUUGUUUCUUGUUUUUAAAUCUGUUGUGUAUUCAGAAGAUACAGUUAUGAAAGUAUUUUGAUUUUACCAAGAACUAGAUCCAGGCCAGGAUAUGUAUGUUAAAUAAAGAAUUCUUUUUGGCCUGAUUUCUCAAAUACACCAAUGCCAGGUUUUCUGUGUAUAUACUAGUAGAAAGAGAAAGUUUCACAUUUAACUAGUUCUUUCUCAUACAGUUAACCAUGUUCCUGCCACUGACAUCAUAGAAAAUGUGAAACUUCAGUAUCUUUCUUGGCUAUUUCACCUUCUCCAUUCAGAUCAGGAAUCCUAGAUAUAAGACUGUGCAGGAGGCAAUGCAACUUUAGCAAGUCACUAUUUUGCAGUUGUCAUAUCAUUAUCCAGUUUAAAAAGUGAAAAUAUCUGAAAAAUUCACCUCAUAUUAGUAUGAAAAGUACAGUGAACUUUUUUGCAAUGUGUUAGAAUUUUGCAAUCUUCAGAGGUGUAAAAAUCAUUAGCAUUUUUAACUUAUGUACACCUCUGUGAUUAGGUAAUUUAAGAAGAUUAGGAAAAGAUAAUUUUUUAAGGUAAUACAAAGCAGACAAGACUGAAAUCUUUUCUAUUUUAUAGACACUGUUAUCAUUGCUUUGUAAUCCAUUAUCAAUGUUGAGUCAUUUUAUAAAUAUAUUUUACUUCGUUAACAGAAAAGAACACAGAAAAUAGAUAAGUGUCUUCUACAUUUGUACAUAGAUCAGUGAGGAAGAGACAUAGAUAGAAUGUCAGGAAGUGUGAUGUGUGUUUUCACCAUAAUAAAACUUCGACAGUAAUGGGGUCUUAAUGACAGUGUCUCGCAUAAGUGUUGGUCCAAUCCACAGGUUGCACGUAAUGUCUUCUUGAUAGUGAUGAUGAACAAUGGAGAGUCCACAGUAAUUUCUCAUUUCUCACAGGAGUACAUAGUUUUGUACAAAAUCCAUAUGUAUGCUACUAUACUAAGGUGAAAGAAAAUUCAAAAUUAUCUAGCAAAUUUUGUCAUAAAUGCCAUAAAGAUAUAAACAUUUUCUUUGGAUGAGAUUGAUUUUGUGGAACAGAGAAUAUACAAAAAAAGAGUAACAUAAUGUAUAAAUUCCAUGUUGUUGAGUAGAAAGAUAAAUACAGAUUUAUGAAGACCUUGUGCACAUCGUGGUAACAAUGAAUUAUUAUGUAUAAUGAAAUGAAUGUAGAAUAAUUUGAGAAUUUAUUUCUGCCAUAGUUUAAAAAUGUACUAUUUUUAAAUUCCUAGAUUGUGAUGAUAAAGAAGAGAGAGUAGGUGCAGUUUUAUAACUUUUUAUUGCAAGUACAAAAUUAUUACAUAAACAUGGACACUAGGAUGAAAAAAUAAAGCAGGUAAAGAUAAACAAACAGCUUAACAUACCAGAAUCAGUAUUAUAGAAGGAACAUGGUUUGUUACUCUAUCUGCAUUUAUAUUUUAAUGCAGGUAUUAAUCAUUGGAUAAAUUAUAAUACUUUGUGAAAGUAAUUAUGGAGUACUUCACAAUGCUUGGAAGUUUGCUUAAGUGGUUCAGAAGUUACUACAUCUUGAAGAUAAGAAAUGCAACCAUUGACUCCUUAUGUUUUACCUUUUCUAAACUAUGACAUAGUAAACUAGUCUAGUGUAUUUUGCACAUCUGUGAAGUUCACUCUUCAUAGACAGUUUUCUGUUACAUUUUUGUUCUGUCAAGAUAUUUAUUGAAAUUAAUUAAUUAAUACUAAUAAGUCUGUGUUUGGAUAAUGUUUACCAUUAAAUGUUUUUUUAUGUAAAUUCUCUGAUUUUGACAUUGCAGCUAAUGAUCUGAUGCAGUUCUCUUUUAAGUUAUUUGCUAUCUUUCAAUAUUCUUGAUGAGGUACUGGAAUGAAACUUUAGCUCCUGUAAUAUACUGUAAAAUAAAACUUGUUAAACAUUUUUAAUAA